rnacentral:rRNA from 1 species
AGAGUUUGAUCCUGGCUCAGGAUGAACGCUAGCGGGAGGCUUAACACAUGCAAGUCGAGCGGGAUUAGCAGCAAUGCUAUGAGAGCGGCGGACGGGUGCGUAACGCGUAUGCAACCUGCCUUAUACAGGGGAAUAGCCCAUGGAAACGUGGAUUAAAGUCCCAUAGGAUGACGAUAUCGCAUGGUAUUGUGAUUAAAACUGAGGUGGUAUAAGAUGGGCAUGCGUCUGAUUAGGUAGUUGGUGAGGUAAUGGCUCACCAAGCCGACGAUCAGUAGGGGUUCUGAGAGGAUUACCCCCCACACUGGUACUGAGACACGGACCAGACUCCUACGGGAGGCAGCAGUGAGGAAUAUUGGUCAAUGGCCGGAAGGCUGGACCAGCCAUCCCGCGUGCAGGAUGACGGCCCUAUGGGUUGUAAACUGCUUUUGUACCUGAAGAAUAGGCCCAACGAGUUGGGAUUUGCCGGUAAGGUAUGAAUAAGSAUCGGCUAACUCCGUGCCAGCAGCCGCGGUAAUACGGAGGAUSCGAGCGUUAUCCGGAUUYAYUGGGUUUAAAGGGUGCGYAGGYKGGAAAAUAAGUCAGYGGUGAAAUACWGCSGCUYAACSGUWGRAUUGCCRUUGAWACUGUUUUUCUUGRRUWYGGUYGAGGUWGGYGGAAUGYGUKGUGUAGCGGUGAAAUGCWUAGAUAUSACRCRGARCGCCGAUUGCGAAGGCAGCUUACYAAGCCAUUACUGACGCUGAGGCACGAAAGCGUGGGGAUCGAACAGGAUUAGAUACCCUGGUAGUCCACGCCGUAAACGAUGAUCACUCGCUGUUUGCGAUAUACAGCAAGCGGCUGAGCGAAAGCAUUAAGUGAUCCACCUGGGGAGUACGAUCGCAAGGUUGAAACUCAAAGGAAUUGACGG